CCCUUAGAUGUUCUGGGCUGCACGCGCGCUACACUGAUGCAUCCAACAAGUUUUCUCCCUUGUUCGGUAGGACUGGGUAAUCUUUUGAGUAUGCAUCGUGAAGGGGAUAGAUUAUUGCAAUUAUUAAUCUUCAACGAGGAAUUCCUAGUAAGCGCAAGUCAACAGCUUGCGUUGAUUACGUCCCUGCCCUUUGUACACACCGCCCGUCGCUACUACUGAUUGGAUGUUUAAGCGAGGUUCUCGAACUGCUAGCGACUUAGCUUCGGUGAGGUCGCAGUGUGGGAAGUGAACCUAGCUUUGGUGUCUAGAGGAAGUAAAAGUCGUAACA
rnacentral:rRNA from 1 species